UACGUAGGGUGCAAGCGUUGUCCGGAAUUAUUGGGCGUAAAGAGCUCGUAGGCGGUUUGUCGCGUCUGCUGUGAAACGCGAGGCUCAACCUCGCGCCUGCAGUGGGUACGGGCAGACUAGAGUGCGGUAGGGAGAUUGGAAUCCUGGUGUAGCGGUGGAAUGCGCAGAUAUCAGGAGGAACACCGAUGGCGAAGGCAGAUCUCUGGGCC
rnacentral:rRNA from 1 species